rnacentral:snRNA from 1 species
AUACUUACCUUGCUGGGGAGAUCCUAUGAUUAAGAAUCUGGUUUUCCCAGGACAAGUUCAUUUACUACCCNUCAGAUGUGCUGACCUUGUGAUUUUCACUCNUGGAGGAAANUUAACUGCAUAAUUUGUGGUAGUAGGGUACUGUAAUCAUGCUCUCCUCUU